rnacentral:tRNA from 1 species
GCGGACGUGGUGGAAUCGGUAGACACACCGGACUUAAAAUCCGUCGGCUUCGGCCAUGCGGGUUCGAGUCCCGCCGUCCGCACCA